rnacentral:rRNA from 1 species
UGAGGAAUAUUGGUCAAUGGGCGCAAGCCUGAACCAGCCAUCCCGCGUGCAGGAAGACGGCGCUAUGCGUUGUAAACUGCUUUUCCAGGGGGAGAAACUUCCGUACGUGUACGGAAUUGACGGUACCCUGGGAAUAAGCAUCGGCUAACUCCGUGCCAGCAGCCGCGGUAAUACGGAGGAUGCAAGCGUUAUCCGGAUUCAUUGGGUUUAAAGGGUGCGUAGGCGGACUAUUAAGUCAGUGGUGAAAUCCUGCAGCUUAACUGCAGAACUGCCAUUGAUACUGAUAGCCUUGAGUUUGGUUAAGGUAGGCGGAAUGUGUAAUGUAGCGGUGAAAUGCUUAGAUAUUACACAGAACACCAAUUGCGUAGGCAGCUUACUGAGCCGACACUGACGCUGAGGCACGAAAGCGUGGGGAUCGAACAG